rnacentral:lncRNA from 1 species
UAAAGCUCAUGAAAGGAUGAAAAAACAGGGAAACAUUCAAGCUUUUACUAUUGGUAAAGUAGCAGCUAGCAAGUCCUUACGUCAGCUGAGCACACUACAGUGAGCACUGUCAAUAAUUCAUUUUAUUCUCCAGCUAAUCAAGAAACGCAGCCCUUGAUAUCUGAGUCAUUGCUCCACAUCCUGCCCCGCUUCAGCACUUCCUCAUUCAAGGCAGAAGUUCCUUGCAGCAGCACAUUUCAAUCUCAGCACAUUCAGGCAGGAUACCGAGAGAUCCCACACUGCCUUCCCUCCCGCUCAGGACAAGGAGUCUAGAGCCAGCCACCCCUGUGGAAGCUGAACAUUCCUAAACAUACACAGAAGGUGGCAAUCCAGUCCAGGUGGCAAGACACUGCAGACACAUGUCAAUGGCCAGAGCUUUGUUUCAACAGAGACAGAAAUAGCAGCUGGAGCAGCCGGUGAAGUUCGCGACUGGGAAGGAUUCCUAAGGGCCAGGAAGGCACAAAAAUGAAAUGGGAGACUUCUCUCUGGAUGGUUGCCUGCUUACUGUUUGCAUCUCUGCCCAGAGGUCAACCAGACACAACAUGUCAUGCAGUAGUUGGAGAAACUGUCAUUUUGCCUUGCACCACUACCUCUCCUGGAGACCUGAUCCUUUCCAAUUCAAUACUGUACUGGCAGAUAGAGCACACUGUCUUAGUGCACUUUUUUUACAAGGGGCGGGACUCGCUGGAACGCCAGGACGAACGUUACUCUGGCAGAACUAGUCUUUUUUUGGACCAGAUGAAGCAUGGCAACUUUUCCUUAAAGCUCUCCAGUGUCCAAUUACUGGACACAGCUGAAUAUACUUGCAUCUACAAACGGACUGGGGAUCAUCCCAACAAAACACAGAAAUCUAAAAUUAAUCUCAUUGUAUCAGCUCCACCUAGCAUUGAAGAGGCACCUUCCCCUUCUGGACACAGCCAGAUUUCCUCCAGAAGCCCUGCUGAUGUGCCAUUUCUGGCUAUGCUUCCCCUCUCUUUCCACCUCCUGGUCUCACUAGGGGUUUGGCAGUUGUAACUGGGGAACAGGAGAAUCUUUGGGAAGUUCUCCUCACCAGAGGACCUCGCUGGGCAGAACAGCUCUGUAGGGUUGGCAUGACACCUGUUCCAGAGCCACAGGGAAGAAUCAUCAAAGCUGAAAACUGACCUAGCACUAGGUGUUUAUAUCCCACAUUCUGGUGUUCCACAAAGCCAAAGGCAGCAACACUCAGAGGUGGCACGUCUACUUUUUCAUUUCUUUCUGGGAGCCCAGUUUUAGUGCUGCCAUUAUGAACAUUUUAUUUUGGAUUUUGCAGUUUUGCUUUAGCGGCAGGAUAAAAGAUUCACAAAACUCAAAGUCACAUAAUUGACCCUAGUGAGAUCUUUUUCCUAAGACCUCAUCUGCUGUCCUUCAAGAGAACCAAAAGGAGGAGAAGUGGUCAUUGCCCUCUGUGUCAGAUAAAAACUGGAAGUAGGAAGACGCUUGCAUUUUGUGAAAUGUAAGGAUGGAAACCUUGUGAAACUUGAGCCUGUGGAACUUCAGCUUCUAUUUUUACUCGUAAGCGUCAUGGCUAUCAGCAACAACUUUUUUUUCCACAAGAAAUGUAGUAGUUCUUCAGCGGAAGGAUGAAGCUGACUGAGAAAAAUGAUGGAAGUUCAUAAAACAUCAACAUAGAGGAAGGAAGUGAUGUAUUAUUACAAAAUCCACUGCUAAAUAAGCCAAAAGCUUUAGAAGUCUGAAUUCGGUAUUUUCUCUUUUUGUCCUUAAACACAGCAAGGUAAAUGCGAUCAUCACCCAAAAGCUGGAUUCUUAAGCUAAAACUGUGCGACAAGAAAUUGUUACUGUGACAAUGUUACUUCUUUAAAAACAGCACCUUUGGAGGAAAAAAGAAUUAAAAACUGGUCAGAAUAAUUGUAACAGAUACCUAUGCAAAUUAAAUGGGUUUAGUUCUGGAAACGUUGGACUCAGGUAGCAUAGAUGUCCUGUAUAAAACUAAGACUGAAAGGAUCCUGUGUACCAGCAACAUCAAGAAAGUGCAGAGGUUCCAUUUCAGGCCAGAGCUCCUGCGACCGCCCUCUUAUAGAAUGGAGAAGCAUCCGGAGAACUCCUCACCCUGGCUGGUGGGCAGCGGUGAUGGCAACGCACUCCUACUGGCUGAGCCCUCAAGCAGAGGGAAGUGACUCAUCAGGUUGCAUAUAAAGUCGUUUUUAUUUGGAACAGUUCCACUCUCUUUCCAAAGGAAAGACGGGAUUGUUUUUGCCGGGAAAGGAACAGAAUAAAAUAGGAGUUUCAAAAUGGUAUCCA